GCCCGGGUAGCUCAGUCGGUAGAGCAGCUGUCUUGUAAACAGCAGGUCGCAGGUUCGAAUCCUGUCUCGGGCU
rnacentral:tRNA from 1 species